GGCUCUGCAGUGCAAUGGAUAGCACAUUCAAAGGAUGUGGGUUUGAGUCCCACCAGAGUCG
rnacentral:tRNA from 1 species